rnacentral:rRNA from 1 species
UACAGAGGGGGCAAGCGUUAUUCGGAAUUAUUGGGCGUAAAGGGCGCGUAGGCGGCCAGGCAAGUGGAAGGUGAAAUCCCUCGGCUUAACCGAGGAGCUGCCCUCCAAACUGCUUGGCUUGAGACCGGGAGAGGUGAGUGGAAUUCCCAGUGUAGCGGUGAAAUGCGUAGAUAUUGGGAGGAACACCAGUGGCGAAGGCGGCUCACUGGACCGGUACUGACGCUGAUGCGCGAAAGCGUGGGGAGCAAACGGG